rnacentral:rRNA from 1 species
UUUUGUUAGGUGGGGGAGAAAAGCCCUCACCAAACCAAUGUAUCCUUGCCGGAUUGGAAGAUUUGUUCGCCCCACUUGGGGAUUGAGACCCCGCCCCAAAUCUCUUAGGGGAGGCGGCAGUAGGGAAUCUUCCCACAAGGGGCGAAACCCUUGAUGGAACAACCCCCGCGUGUGUGAUGAAGGCUUUCGGGUCGUAAAGCACUGUUGUAUGGGAAGAACAGCUAGAAUAGGAAAUGAUUUUAGUUUGACGGUACCAUACCAGAAAGGGACGGCUAAAUACGUGCCAGCAGCCGCGGUAAUACGUAUGUCCCGAGCGUUAUCCGGAUUUAUUGGGCGUAAAGCGAGCGCAGACGGUUUAUUAAGUCUGAUGUGAAAGCCCGGAGCUCAACUCCGGAAUGGCAUUGGAAACUGGUUAACUUGAGUGCAGUAGAGGUAAGUGGAACUCCAUGUGUAGCGGUGGAAUGCGUAGAUAUAUGGAAGAACACCAGUGGCGAAGGCGGCUUACUGGACUGCAACUGACGUUGAGGCUCGAAAGUGUGGGUAGCAAACAGGAUUAGAUACCCUGGUAGUCCACACCGUAAACGAUGAACACUAGGUGUUAGGAGGUUUCCGCCUCUUAGUGCCGAAGCUAACGCAUUAAGUGUUCCGCCUGGGGAGUACGACCGCAAGGUUGAAACUCAAAGGAAUUGACGGGGACCCGCACAAGCGGUGGAGCAUGUGGUUUAAUUCGAAGCAACGCGAAGAACCUUACCAGGUCUUGACAUCCUUUGAAGCUUUUAGAGAUAGAAGUGUUCUCUUCGGAGACAAAGUGACAGGUGGUGCAUGGUCGUCGUCAGCUCGUGUCGUGAGAUGUUGGGUUAAGUCCCGCAACGAGCGCAACCCUUAUUGUUAGUUGCCAGCAUUCAGAUGGGCACUCUAGCGAGACUGCCGGUGACAAACCGGAGGAAGGCGGGGACGACGUCAGAUCAUCAUGCCCCUUAUGACCUGGGCUACACACGUGCUACAAUGGCGUAUACAACGAGUUGCCAGCCCGCGAGGGUGAGCUAAUCUCUUAAAGUACGUCUCAGUUCGGAUUGUAGUCUGCAACUCGACUACAUGAAGUCGGAAUCGCUAGUAAUCGCGGAUCAGCACGCCGCGGUGAAUACGUUCCCGGGUCUUGUACACACCGCCCGUCACACCAUGGGAGUUUGUAAUGCCCAAAGCCGGUGGCCUAACCUUUAGGAAGGAGCCGUCUAAGCAGACAGUUGCGA